GGCUCUGGAGAAUCUCAUUGAGUUGAGUGCCGAAGGUGCAAGGCGGUUUUUCCGCCGAAUCUCUCAGGCAAAAGGACAGAGCGG
rnacentral:ncRNA from 1 species